GUGCUGGAGAGAGAGAGAGAGAAGGUUGGGAGAAGCAGCACCCCUCACCUUCUGAGCUACUCAAGAGAUGGGGGACAGGAGCAGUACUGCCAAGAACAGUUGUGCAAGUUGUGCACUGCACAAGCAUACCAGACAGAAGCUAGAGCAGAAGCUGACGUCAUCUGUUCCCCUCACCACACAUUGCAUCUGCCCAGAGGAAGAAGUGCCGUGCUGGGCAGUGAAUGAAUGAACCUUGCCCUGGGGUUAACACUCCAGUGGGAUGAACAAACCCCACAAGCACUGCAUACGCAGCCAACAAAGAAAAAGGCUUCCUUCAUUGACUUCUGUGGGAAUUCAAUGACGUCGUACACAUAAAGCACUUAGCAUAUGCCUGGUACAUAGCAGCAUUCUUUCCAUCUCUCACCUCCUCAUGCCUCCUGUGGAAAAAAUGAAUGAACAGAUGAGAAAAGUUGGAGCUGGAGAAAGACCGUGUUCCUCGUGUUCCGUGGGACCUGGGAAGGCUGCUAAAACCCAGGGAGCAGGAGUUCUCCUCCCUCCAUCCUUAUCCACAGUCUGGGUCCCAUCCAGACCCUCCUCUCCAAACCGGGGGUUUGGGACAAAGCAGGUGAGGGAGGCAUUUCAUU
rnacentral:lncRNA from 1 species